AUUGAACGCUGGCGGCAGGCCUAACACAUGCAAGUCGAGCGGGGUUUUCGGACCUAGCGGCGGACGGGUGAGUAAUGCGUAGGAAGCUACCCGAUAGAGGGGGAUACCAGUUGGAAACGACUGUUAAUACCGCAUAAUGUCUACGGACCAAAGUGUGGGACCUUCGGGCCACAUGCUAUAGGAUGCGCCUACGUGGGAUUAGCUAGUUGGUGGGGUAAUGGCUCACCAAGGCGACGAUCCCUGGCUGGUUUGAGAGGAUGAUCAGCCACACUGGAACUGAGACACGGUCCAGACUCCUACGGGAGGCAGCAGUGGGGAAUAUUGGACAAUGGGCGCAAGCCUGAUCCAGCCAUGCCGCGUGUGUGAAGAAGGCCUUCGGGUUGUAAAGCACUUUCAGUAGGGAGGAAGGGUGUUGUGUUAAUAGCACAGCAUUUUGACGUUACCUACAGAAGAAGCACCGGCUAACUCUGUGCCAGCAGCCGCAGUAACAC
rnacentral:rRNA from 1 species